CUCCUCUUCCGUUUGCCCGCAGUCUGGAAAUCAAAGAAUCCUUAUCAGUGCUUCCUUCCUCUCAGAAAGCUGGUAUUCGCAGCGUCCACCCGAAAAGUCUAUUGGCCUAAGCAAAUUCUUCCAAACCCCGCGGAGCUGAGAAAAGGGCUGGAUAUUGCAGUGGGCUGCGGCAGGCUGCCAACCCAGCACUUGGAGGAAAAUACUCCUCUUUACCACAGCUCUAAGGGGGUGGGAUAAAUAUGUGGCUGUCUCUAGUUGUACAUGUCUUAUUUCUACCUCUAUGCCUAACAUCUAUUUAUCUCUGGUUUUCCUCCUCACAUGUCUAGGGCACGGCUUUUACAUUCAGUCAAACUAGUGAAGACACAUGGUUACGCAUUUUCUGCUACCCAAAAUAAUCUCUCUCUCUCCCUCUCUCUGUCUCUCUCUGUGAAGCAAAUUGCUCUUUGCCGGUAAGGAAAGUAUUAAAGGUGCCAUAGCAGUGGCAGCUCCUUCUUGGGGAUACGCUGGGGUGCUACAAAAAAUCUCUAAAAUUCGGCAGCAUCUCCAUGAAGGCAGCCCGGAUGGCUGAUGUUAGCAAGCAGUGGGGAAUGAAGGGUCUGAUUGGAAUCUGAGGGUGCCAGACCUUGAGAAAUCGAUUUGUAGAGAGUCAAAGCCCAUUUUGGUGGCGGUGCUGCUGCUUUGUUGGGUCAACGUUAUACUCCAGAAUUCCGUAUUUUAGGGCAGCAGCACAACAAAGCCUUGGGCAGCAUCUGCUGCACCUUUCCCAGUACAUGGGACUGUGAUUUGUGUUACCAGUCACAGCUAGAAGAUCUGCCUUCUGAUUCCCCAGUGGGAGACAAGCCAUACCAACUUGCAGAGGAAGCCAAAUAAUUGUUGAUUAGACACUUCUUUUAGCAUGGUGUUUUCUGCCCUUUUAGCUGUCCUGGCAAUAUAGGCCAAAUCAGUUACUAGAUUAAAAGGUUGUUGGAAUUUUUUAAAUGCUCUGACAUCAGUAACCAACUCAGGAAUUUGCGGGGUUCCUUCAACGACUUGAACAUCCUACUCCCACUUCUGAGUUUUCGGAUCCUUCCAAGUGAUAACCAAUUCGUUUGAUUUUCCAGAGCCAUCUGUAAAAACUGUGAGGGCUUUAAGAGGAACCUUACCUUUUAGAGAAUUUGGGACGAGAUUGAAUGUAUCUUUUAGUAGCUUGUGUUUUGGAUAAUGAAUAGAGACUUGUUCGGGAUAGCUGUCUAAAGCAAACUGAAGGUGUUCAUUUGUCUGUAAUAGGGAUUCUAAUUUGUGUAGCUGAAAUGCUAGACAAAUGUAUGUUGGGUCACAUGCUGCAGGGAUUCGGAGGCGGUUCCUGCCUUAAUGAUUAAUUGAGCUAAAAGCUCUUCAGGGAUUGUAAUAGUUUUUUUGGUGUGGCAAAAAUACCCAUUCUACAAUUAACAAUUGUUCUGUAGAAGACCGGUCCCACUGAAAAAGCAGUGCCUGGAAAUGUGGGGAUUUACCAAGAAUAGCAAACUGGGAGGUUAGAGAGCGGUCAACGUGGUGUGCUUUUCGAGAUGAGAUAGCAGGUGCUACCUUUCGCAGCGCGUCGUGGGCAUCUGGGGUUAAGAUGCGCUGGGAAGUCAGGUCAUGGCUCCCCUUCAGUAGGCUGAACAAAGGGGACAGCUCUUCUCUCGUGAGUCCAAGCAGUGGUCGGAUCCAGGUGAUGGAGCCACACAACGGCUGUAAGUCCCUUAGCGCUUGAGCCUUAUCUUUGAUGGAGAUACUUUGGGGAAUAAUGGCUGGCUCACUGAUUAGGAAUCCAAGGUAUUUCCAUGGGGAGGUCUACUGGGUUUUUCAGGAGCCAUAUCAAAACCUGCAUCUUCAACUGCUGUCAUAGUCUUUCUGAUCACUGUGUUAAGGUAAGUCUUGUCUUGGGAGCAAAUUAAAAUGUCGUCCAUAUUUUGCCGAAUUAUAGCUUCAGGGAAGGCUUUCCUGAUUGGAGAUAGAAUCCCAGCCACAAACAUUUGACAUAAAACAGGGGAAGUUUUCAUUCCCUGUGGCAAUGUGACCUAAUGAUAUCUUUUAAAGGGUUCUUGACAGUUGAUGAUUGGUAUGGAAAAUGUGAAUUUGGGAGUGCGGGACGGAGAGGGAUGUUGAAUAAACAGUCUUUGAUAUCAAGGAUUGUGAGCUGCCAGUCCCUGGGAAGCACAGAAGGUGAGGAGAGGCCUGGUUGCAAGGGGCCCAUGUCUUCUAAAACAUCAUUUACUUUCCAAAAGUCUUGUAAUAACCUCCAUCUGUCUUUGCCAGGAUUUUUAUAAAAAGACAGGGGUCAGGGGCUAGUUGAUGGUACAAUGUGUCCUUUUAAUAAUUGUUGUCACACUAGGGCGUGGAGUGCUUCUAAUUUGCCAUUUGGAAAGGCCCAAUGAUCCACCCACACAGGAUCAUACCCACAGGGAGGGAUCAUACCUUUUCCCACAGAUGGACAACAGCCAUAUUGAGUGGUUUAGUUUUCAUUUCUUUUUAAUUCCCAAGGUUUCAUUUUUCUCAACAUUGUAAUACAGCAUCUCUAUUCAAAUCAUUAUACUCACCUUGGUUAAUUAAAUAUUUAUUAAUUUAUUUUCCCCCCAUAAUAUCAGACAAAAGCAUAGGACAAAAGCAUAGGAAGAACAACAAGCAAUUACAGAAAUACAGAAUCUUCCCUGAGAAUCCCUUGGGAACCAUGUUAAAACAAUGGGAAGGACAUCAACUUACUAAAGAUAAAGACCCAUGGCUCAAGAUUGUGCAUUGCAUGUUUGAAUGGCCAAAGAAGAAAUUAAAAUAAGGUCUGCGCUGGCUGAAGCAUGGGUCUACCAGGAUGUGGAUUUGCAAAGUACUUUACAAUUACGUCCAAAAUAAAUUAAAUGCAGACUUGGAUUGCAGUAUGUGGAGGUCUGAUUUAAAUAUUGGAACAGCGAAAAGGAAGUAGAAACAGAUAAAACAUACCAAAUUCUCUCUGUAAUGAUCAAUGAUAAAGACACAACAAGGAAAACCAAUCAACCAAGGUGGGACCCAUUAAAUUUCCUGCCCCCUACUGCACCUCCUAACGAACCAGCUGCAACUGCAGCUGAGUCAUUGGAGGCUUCAACGACUCAUGUAACUGAGAGGGCUGAAGAAGUUGAAAGUAGCAGUGGGACAUCAGAAGAAACGUAUAUUCUAUCAUCAUCCUCCAGGCAAAUUACAAAUUCAGCCAUGCAGGAAGUUCCAUCCAAUCAAGAAGGUCCAGGCUUCUUCACUUGAAGGAGAACCCUAGCAGUACAAAAAUGUUCCUCCUGCUCCAGCAGUAAAGAUAAAACAAAGGUGCCACCCCUCAGAGAGGUCACAAUGGGGGGGGGGGGGGGGGGUGUACAAGGUGGAAUAGGACAUGGAAAUGCACCCCUCACCUCUUCAGAAGUGAGGCAUUUUAAAAAGGAAAUGGAGAUAUCAUUCAGUGAUCCAGUAGGUUUGUCAGAAAAAGUUUACCAGUUCUUAGGCCCUAGGAUUUACCCUAGGGGCAAAUGAAAUUCAAAAAUGCAAACCCUUUUCUCUCCAGAGAAGAGAAAAGUUAUUUAGACUGCAGGGAUCAAUAUAUGGGACAGAGAACAUAAUUUAGGAACAACUGGAGAGAAGAAAUUACCGUUAACAGAUCCAGAAUGGAACCCUAGCUCAGAUGAGGGAAGAAAAUGUAUAGCAGAAUACAGAACCCGAAUUGUAAGGGGAAUAAAAGAGGCAGUCCCCAGAGUUAAUAACAUGAAGAAAGCCUUUGGUAGCGAAAAAGAAAAAGAUGAGAGCCCAACUGACUGUAUAACUCGCCUAAAGAAUAAUAUCCAAUUAUAUUUAGAAAGAGAUUUAGAUAGUGAAGAAGGGAAGACAAUGUUCUAGGUCCACUUUGUGUUACAUUCUUGGCCUGACAUAGAACAGAAAUUAGAGAAAUUAGAUGGAUGGCCAGAAAGGAGUUUAGAUGAGUUAUUAGCUGAAGCACAGUAAGUUUAUGCCAGGUGAAAUGAAGAGAAAAUGAAGACUAAAGCUAAGAUGAUGGCUGCUGUCCAAAUUCCUAAACCAAUUAGGCAGGAUGGGGAGAAUAUUCAAUUAAAGAAACCUAUUUGCUUUUAUUGUAAGAAAGAAGACCAUAUGCAAUCCUGCUGUUUUAAGACAUUGAGGGACUUAAGAGAUUCUCUAAGUGGAGAAUCAACCCUCAGAGAACUGAGGGGGUCAGGGGCUCUUCUUCUUGGGGCACAAAAACCAUCUUCAAGAGCCCUUGAUAAAAUCAAGAAUAGGACCCCAAGUACAAUUAAUGGAAUUUUUAGUAGACACAGGAGCAGAGAGAACUUGUGUAAGUGAAAAACGAAAUAGAUGUGCCAUAAGCAAAGACACUUUCAAUAUUUGUGCUGCUAAAGGGGAAUCCUUACCCAUCCCCAUCAUUAUGAAUGUCACUAUAAAGGGUAAUGGACUAACCAGAAAUGGAGAUCUGUUUUUCUACCUCCAGCAGGUAACAACUUACUUGGCCGGGAUCUCCAGAUACCUUUGAAAGUUGGAGUAGUUCCACAAGAAGGAAGGAUGAAGGUCAAAUUGUUUACUUUAUCCACACAAGAUGAACAACUGAUUAAUCCUACAGUGUAGGCCCGACCAGAUUCUCCUUCUAGACACCUGUUUGCCUUCACCUGGGAAGAUCCAGACACUGGAAGGAAACAGCAGCUCACCUGGACCUGGCGACUGCAAGGGUACAUGGAGUCUCCCACACUCUUCGGUCAGGCCUUGGAGAGGCUGUUCAUUUCCUUUUCUCCACCCUCAGGAACACAAGUAACACAGUAUGUAGACGACAUACUACUCUCCAGAGAGCAAGAAUCCACUGUAAAAUUAGGCACCAAUCAAUUACUGAACCUUCUAGGAGAGAAUGGACUAAGAGUAUCUAAAUCCAAAUUACAAUUUGUUAAACCGAAGUAAAAUAUUUCGGACAUGUAAUUGGUCAUGGUACCAGAAAAUUGAGUACUGAAAGGAUAGAAGGAAUUUUAAAUUUACAACCUCCACAAAAAAAGAGCGAGGUUAGACAAUUAUUAGGCUUAAGGAGGUAUUGUAGAAUAUGGAUUGAUUAACACACACAAAGUGUCACAAUUUUAUAUGAAAAACUAACUACAUCAGAACCUAUUAAUUGGACCCAAGAGGAUAAUAAAAACUUAGACAAUUUAAAGCAAAAGAUGAUUCAGACCCCAGUUCUCUUUCUUCCUUCACUAGAAGAAGAUUUUCACCUAUAUAUUAAACCUAUAUAGGAAUUACUUACGGGGUCUUGGCCCAAGAGUGGUCAGGAUUUCAUAAACCUGUAGCCUACUUGUCCAUAUUGUUGGUCCCUGUGUCCCAAGGAUGGCAAACAUGCAUCCAAUCAAUCGCUGCAGCAGCCAUCCUAGUAACAGCCAGCCAAAAACUUACAUUUGAGAGAAAUCUGAUAGAAUACAUACCACAAUCCAUCCAAACCAUUCUUAAACAACGAGCAGCCGAAUGGCUAACAGACUCUCAUAUUACACAAUAUGGGAGCACCCUCAUCCAUUCCACAAAUGUAACCCUGAAAACAACCACCCACACCAAUCCCACACAGUUCCUAUGUGGAAUCCCCAAAAACAAGAUCUCAUGCACAACUGCAUAGUUUUUAUAAACCUGCAAACAAAAAUUCAAGAAGACCUCCUAGAGAGCCCAUUAGAUGAAGGAGAAAUCCUGUUCAUCGAUGGAUCAUGUAGAGUAGUAAAUGGAAAGAGGUGCUCUGGAUACUCCAUCAGAGAUGGAAAACAACUGUACAUGUUAGAAAAGGAAAACUACCACCUUCCUGGUCUACCCAGGUAUGUGAAUUAGAUGCUUUGGAAAAAGCAUUGCACAGACUAGACAGAGCUAUUGGAACCAUUUAUACUGACUCUAAAUAUGCAUAUGGAGUAGUCCACACGUUUGGGAAAAGCUGGGCUGAAAGAGGGUUUCUCAGAUCUAAGGGCAAAGACAUUUUACACAAAGAACUUAUAUUAAAAAUUAGAGGCACUUAAGUUACCGAAAGAAAUUGCAAUGGUACGUGUUCCAGGUCAUCAAAAGGGAUCUCUGGAGAAACCAGAGGAAACAUCCUAGCAGACCAUGCUGCAAAGGAGGCUGCUUUUGAGGGGGAAGUAAAGGUAUACAGAUUUUAUCCAAGAGACACACCCGAGAGUACACUGGACAACACCCUUCCUAUCCCUAUUUUUAAAGACAAUGAAAAACAGAAACUCAUAUCACUAGGUGGAAAGGAAGAUUCCGAGGGACGGUGGCAUCUUCCUGAUGGCCACCAAAUGUUAAAUAAAGAGCUCAUUCGAGAAAUUUUACAGAACCUCCACAAUCCAUGCACUGGGGACCUAAAGCUUUAGCAGGAGAAACAACAUGAAUAGAACCAAGGCCAGUUCCAGGCAGGACGUUCCUGCAUUUAGGUCCCUUCCUGCAUCCAGGUACACUCCCAUGACAACCAAGGGGUUCGAACCCAGGAGAAAAACCAGAGAGCUUGAAAGGUCUGCACCACCUAUCAGAGAGUACCACGGCACUUCAAUCUUCCCAUUGACCCCUGAGCGAGGGAAGGGAAGGUUGAACUGGUUACUUGAUGCCACAGCAAUGGUGCAUACUAAUGAGAGAGCUUCCCAUCAAAAACCUCAGAGAUAUCAUCCCACCCCAAUGACAGCACACUCUGGGAAAGAAGAUCUUACCUCAUCAUCUACUAGCACAAAUCACCAGAGACUAUGGGGGCAGAACUGCAACUACAGACUGAGGGGACUGGGAACAUCAAAGGGGCAGCCUGGCCUGAAGAGCUGUCUUUGCUGUCUUUUACUGUUCCUGGGACUGUGACUUAGCUACAGCAGGGGACCCCACACUGCAGAUUUUGGUCAAUAUCUCUUUUUAGAGACCUUUUUCCAGAUUUGAGGGCAGACUAAGUGCAUUCACUGAAAUGCCCUUAGGUUCUUGCCUUGGGGCCAGACGCCAGUUCAGCUAGAGAUUUCCUCAAUCCUUGGGCCUGGGACUUUAUCCUUUUUUCUUUCUUUCCUUUCGUCUUUUUUCUUACCUCCCCUUUGUUUUUCCCCUUUAAAUAAACACCCUAUUUUUGUUCAAAUUGCCAAAGCUGUAUCUUUUUAUCACAUUCAGCAAA